rnacentral:rRNA from 1 species
UACGUAGGGUGCAAGCGUUGUCCGGAAUUAUUGGGCGUAAAGAGCUUGUAGGCGGUUUGUCGCGUCUGCUGUGAAAUUUCGGGGCUCAACCCCGAACUUGCAGUGGGUACGGGCAGACUAGAGUGUGGUAGGGGAGACUGGAAUUCCUGGUGUAGCGGUGGAAUGCGCAGAUAUCAGGAAGGACACCAACGGCGAAGGCAGCUCGCUGGGACGGUACUGACGCUGAGACGCGAAAGCGUGGGGAGCGAACAGG